rnacentral:sRNA from 1 species
CUUUGAUGUGAUCAUGGAAAGCACAAAGGACUUGGAAUUU